UACGUAGGGUGCAAGCGUUGUCCGGAAUUAUUGGGCGUAAAGAGCUUGUAGGCGGUUUGUCGCGUCUGCUGUGAAAUUUCGGGGCUCAACCCCGAACUUGCAGUGGGUACGGGCAGACUAGAGUGUGGUAGGGGAGACUGGAAUUCCUGGUGUAGCGGUGAAAUGCGCAGAUAUCAGGAGGAACACCGGUGGCGAAGGCGGGUCUCUGGGCCGAUACUGACGCUGAGGUGCGAAAGCGUGGGGAGCAAACAGG
rnacentral:rRNA from 1 species